CGACGUGAGGAACCUGCCUCAAAGAGGGGGACAACAGUUGGAAACGACUGCUAAUACCGCAUAAGCCCACGGCUCGGCAUCGAGCAGAGGGAAAAGGAGCAAUCCGCUUUGAGAUGGCCUCGCGUCCGAUUAGCUAGUUGGUGAGGUAAAGGCUCACCAAGGCGACGAUCGGUAGCUGGUCUGAGAGGACGACCAGCCACACUGGGACUGAGACACGGCCCAG
rnacentral:rRNA from 1 species